ACACGACUACAUUAGAUACCCGGGUAGUCCUAGCCGUAAACGAUACUCGCUAGGUGUCGGCCACGGUGCGACCGUUGUCGGUGCCGUAGGGAAGCCGUGAAGCGAGCCACCUGGGAAGUACGGCCGCGAAGGCUGAAACUUAAAGGAAUUGGCGGGGAGCACCGCAACGGGAGGAGCGUGCGGUUCAAUUGGAUUCAACGCCGGACAACUCACCAGGAGCGACGGUUACAUGAAGGCCAGGCUGAUGACCUUGCCUGAUUUUCCG
rnacentral:rRNA from 1 species